GUUUGUCACUUCCCCAACUAUAUAUAUAUAUCACUCUCGGCUCUUCUUGAUUUGUUGAAUAUAUGGACUAAACACCUACCCAUUUGUCAACAAAAGUCCCAUCUUAUCAUCAUAUCAUCAGCUGUGCGAGUGUGUUGCUGUUUUGUGUUGAGCUGCAAAGAUGAAUGAGCCCCCCAAGUAUGCUUAUCCAUACCCUGCUCAAUCUCAAGGCUAUUAUCAAGGCCCCCCAGUGAUGGCACCUCCUCAAUAUGCUGCUCCACCACCAAAAAGAGAACCUGGCUUCCUAGAGGGAUGCCUUGCAGCUUUGUGUUGUUGCUGUCUGAUAGAUGAGUGUUGCUGUGACCCUGACAUAUUUUGUGUGUUCUAGUAUGCUAUUUUUUUUGUUGUGAAGAUUCAGAAAUUUCUGGAUGUUCUGUUUCUUAUUAUUGUAGUAUGAAAUGAUGUUCCAAGUAGAGACCAUAUAUAUCUGUUCAGGACAUUUGGAAUGCUUUAUAUAUUAUCUUAUAUCAUUAAUUAAUAGGAAGUCCAUUGCCUUCCUCA